GGCAUCCAUCUAAAGAGAUGCCACCUUCAACGACUUUAUGUACUCCCAGAGCUAGCUAAACUUCCAAAAUAAAACAGCUUCCAUACAGUUUGAGACCUGGCUGAGUUCUCAUAGUGGAUAGUCACCAGUUUGCUGUGAAUGGACCCAAUCUUUGGAUUCCACACCCUUCCAAGUCAGGGGGGUCUAGAAAACAAAGUGAAAGAACAGAAACUCCAUCUUGUGGCAUCAUGCAGACACCCAGAUGCGUCAUCAGCAACAUUGGAACCUGGUUGGAAU